rnacentral:lncRNA from 1 species
AUGAGCCACUGUACUGAGCUGUGCCUACUUCAAAAGACUGAAAAUAAAAAUAGAUAAAUCUUUGCCAAAUUAAAAAACAAAGCAAUAGUUUCCAGGUCUUAGAUAAAGACAAUUCUGUGUCACGAAGAAUGGCAAAAGGCUUAUUUAGCUGUUAAAAUGAUUUGCUUAUAUUUCAAAGAAGCAGAGAAAAAAAGGUACAUAUAAAAGUUUACCAGGCCAGACAAGGUGGUUCAGCCUGUAAUCCCAACAUUUGGGGAGGCCAAGGCAGGAGGAUCUCUUGAAGCCAAAUGUUUGAGUCCAGUACAGGCAACAUGGUGAAAUUCUGUCACCAUAAAAAAAUAAACUAAAAUAAAUAUGGCUGGGCAUGUUGGCUCACGUCUGUAAUCCCAGCACUUUGGGAGUCGGAGGCAGGUGGAUAAUGAGGUCAGGGGUUAGAGACCAGCCUGGCCAAAAUGGUGAAACCCUUUCUCUCCUAAAAAUAAUAACAAUAAAAAAUAAACCAGGCAUGGUGGUUUGCACCUGUAAUCCCAGCUACUCAAAAGGUUGAGGCAGGAGAAUUGCUUGAACCCGGGAGGCGGAGGUUGCAUUGAGCUAAGAUCAUGCCACUACACUCUAGCCUGGCCCACAGAGCAAGACACUGUCUUGAAAAAAAUAAAUAAAUAAAUAAAGUUAGCCAGGCAUGGUGGUGCAUGCCUAUAGUCCUAGGUAAUUAAGAGGUUGACGCAGGAGGACUGCUCAAACCCAAAAUGUUAAGGUUAUAGUGAGCUAUGAUUAUGCCAUUGCACUUCAGACUAAGUAAAAGAGUAAGAUUCUGUCUCAAAAAAUUAAUAAUAAAAGUUUUCUAAAUUACAUUGUUUAAGAAAAGGGAAAAGGAAAAAAUAUAUUGUUUUUAUUUUCAAAUGGGAGAAUAGAGCCUCUCAUUUCUAACUUGUAUUUCCUUCUGCAGAAAGUUGGUCUAGGUCCAUGGUCUUGAACUACUGGACAUCUGAAUUUUAGUAGGUGCUGGAUUCAGGCAACUGAAGGGUGGCCUUGGGCACACUGUGUGCACAUAAAAAAAAGGGUUUGAGGUGAACUAGAAGGUAAAAGAGGGGAAAGUGCUAUUAAGAACCCACAAUUGGGAGACAGUACAGGGUUGGUGGAAGGACUGGUUCAUGGUACAGAUACUGACCCAGGUGAAACUUUGUUCUGACUUAUUUCUAUGUCCAUGCAGGAAGGUGAGAUUGUGAUCAGGUGGCACAGAAACCUGGGAUGGUGAAAAAACCAGGUUGCCACUGCAGAUACGGUGUCUGAGGUAGAGCAUAUGCCAGGGGUCUUGUAGGCACGUGUGUGGGUUUUUGGUGGGAAAGUCUAUGAGGAAAGGUAGCGUGGCAACAAUCUUGAUGCCGAAGCCCUGUCCUGGGAGGGGCUUGACCACAUCAACACGCAGUGCGUAUGUUCGGUGGGUGAAAAACAUGUGGUGGCCUCAGGUUGGCAGGAGGGCAGAGGGCAUCUGUUCUCAGAAAUUCUUCCCUCAGAGUCCUUGGUCCUUCUCACCCUGGGAGGAUGCCUGGAACCACAGGGCAGUGCAUGGUGUAGCAGGCUGUGUGCAGAGCAGAGCCUACCUUCCCCGAGACACCUGGAGUCUCUCUCCAGCAGAGGCCCCCACAUUGUCUUUCUUCUUACAACACUUUUGAUCCUGAAGGUGUAAAGUUCCCUGAAAACCCACUGAUUCUCCAACACCCAUUUGUUGCCCCAAAAUUUAAUUCUGACACAACUUAGAGUUCGCACAGACCCCACAAAUUCAGGGCUCAGUCUCACAUCACCGCUCUCACUGCAGAGGACAGUCACAUGUCCCGGAAGCCCAUCUAUACUGCUGAGCUACCUCCUAUAAAUCUGAGACUCCCAUAAACCCCUUUUCAAGUUAAAUAAUUUGACAGAAUUACUUAAAAAAAAACAAAUAACUCUAAUUAUAUUUACCACUUUAUUAUAAAAAUAUAACUCAGAAACAGCCAAAUGGAAGAGAUGUCUAGGGCAAGGAACAGUUGUGGGUGAAGGUAAUCCUGGAAAUAGCUAUAUUCAAAGAAAUUCCCCCAUUCUUUGUAUUCUCAAAGAACAGCUUAGUGAAGAGAAACGUGCUUCCCAUUAUGACUUUGGGGAUGCUCCCCGCUGUUUUUUUUAAACCUAUCACAAAGAUGGACACAGAUUGCAAAUUCCUAUUUUUAAAAAUGAACAAUCAUUCAGUAAUUUAGUCUUCAGUGGUCAAAACAAAGUACUCGUUACAAAAAUUUUGCUUGUUUCUCUUCUUCCAACCAGCCCAUGAACUUUGACUCACCCACAGCCUCAGCAAACCUACAACCCUUAUUUAUACAUACCCUUCCUAAGAACAGGCUGACUUCAAGGUGAAACAUUACCUUAUCUGGGAUCAGAUUUUGCUACCCUCCAUCCUGUGCUUCCCUUCCUACCUUCUUUGUAAACUUGUUUUCUCCUCCCUAUGAAAUAAAGCCCUUUUCCACCUAACCUUUGAGAUCCUCAAAGAUCUAAUCAUUUGUACUUUUUCUUUGUUGCAAUGCUUCUUAGGUAUCUUCUUAGACCAAGUCUAGAAACAGUCUUAGGACAAUAACAAUUCCAUUCUAGAAAGAAUCUCCCAACAUUUCUUCUAUCUCAACCUCAACUGCAUCUGCCUGUGAACUUCCAGCUUACCAAGGCUCUAUAUCUUCUGGCAGUGACAAAGGCUCCUUCCAUGGUUGGUGUGAGCAGGCUUGGACACCUGCAGGGCAGACACCCAGGAAUAAUCAACUGGGCCUUAAGUGGUCCCCUUUUGCUGGAUCAAGGUGGGCCUUAGCUUUUAGUCAAUGGUCUAAGACCUCUACUUACCAGUUAGAGUCAUUCAGUUAGUUUUCAAUUUAAAAAAUACUUCAUGUUUGAAGAAUCCAGCAAAAAUUAUUCAAAUCUAAGGUAUAAAAGAGAGGAAAUUAUGGCCGGGCAUGGUGACUCAUGCCUGUAAUCCCUGCAUUUUGGGAGGCCGAGGCGGGCAGAUGACAUGAGGUCAGGAGUUUGAGACCAGCCUGAACAACAUGAAGAAACCCCGUCUCUACUAAAAAUACAAAAUUAGCCGGGUGUGGUGGUGUAUGCCUGUAAUCCCAGCUACUCGGGAGGCCGAGGCAGGAGAAUCGCUUGAACCCGGGAAGUGGAGGUUGCAGUGAGCCGAGGUCGUGCCAUUGCACUCCAGCCUGGGCAACAAGAGUGAAACUACAUGUAAAAAAUAAAAUAAAAUAAAAAAGAACAUUAUAAGGGGCUUACAUCUUAUAACUCAUCAAGAAAAGCCAAAGUGUCUAUCCCUUUCAGAAAAUAAACAUGUAAUUUAAUUAUGUUCAUAACAAAUCAUUUGGGUAAACAAUUAAUCAUAUGUGAACACUUCCAGGGGGUGCGAAGUCUCAGCUCCUAAAACUUAGCAUCACCCUCAGACACCCAGAUGGCAGCAUAUGGAACAGAGAUAUUCACUUGCACAAGUUCUCUGUUUUGAAAAAAAGAAUAACUGAUGGGAUAAAUUUAUGUAAUUUGACAAUUAAUCUACCUCACUUGCUUGUGGAUAUGUAUUCAUUUCCUACCACUGUAGUGGAAGAGAGACUAUCCCUGUCUUUACACCCGGUAGCAUUUCCAACAGUAAGCUGUGAGAUUCUGCUUGAAAUCACCUCUCAAACAAAUAAAAAACAGACCUGGGAAAUGUGCUACACUCAUUCUGCUGAAGAAAUUGGGCAAGAAUGUUUUCUAAGACCGCGAACUCCAGAUUUGCGAUGUGGCAAAUCCUGAAGCGUACAUGGAUAUCUCUCACAGCUAAAGUAUCCCUCACCCCUACCCAGUGCUUCUUACCCCUGGCGCGAGAGAAUCACCUGCGGGGAGGAAAACUUUCAAAAUCCCUUAAACCCAAGUUGUAACCGAUCAAUUAAAUCAGAAUCCUUGCAGUUGGAUCUGAAAAAAAUACGGUUUAAAGUUGUGCAGGUGAUUACAAUGUGUAGGCACGCCACAAAACCAUGGGUUUAACCAGCAACCUUUGUUAGAAAUGAUUUCUCAAAUGAAUGUAAAAACGUUUGCUGCUGAAUUGUGACCUUUCCAUUUUACUUGCUUUUCCUACAAAGUAUAUUUUGCAGACCCAGGCAGUGCUGCUUGCUCUGUUCUUGAUUCACCGAGUGCCGUGUGUGCUCAGUGCAUCCUGUGCACUGGUCACUGUGCUGUGUGCCCUGGCCUGGGUGAGCAUCAUUCUUCGGGGAGAACCUUGCUGAAAACAAAGCUGCAUUCCAAAAAGUUAAAACCAUGCUACUUACUGUGUUGAGGUUAAAAUUAAAAGACCUAGGGGACUCAUCCAAAAGUUAAAACAUAAAUAAAUAACUUGGAACAUUAAUAUACACCUGAUGAUGUCCUGAGUGAACAUGCCCCACUUUAAAACAAAACAAAACAUUACUAUUAUUCUAAAAUAUUAAUUUAGGAUUGUUAUGCAAAUAUGUACAAUUUAAAUUUUUAUUGAUGUAUAACAUGCAUACCGCAAUAUAGGCACAAAACGUUUAUGGAAUGCUUGAUGAGUUAUUACAAAAUAAAUACACUUGUGUAUCUAAGAAUCAGAUUUGUUCAUGCCCUUGACACUUUCUCCUUCCAAAAGGUAACCAAGACCUUAAGAGAUAAGUGCAGAUAAACUUUGUCAUUUUGUACAAGUGUUUUAUUACAGAACAUUAAAAACGUAUACACGAUACAAAAAAAGUAUAACAGACCAGUCACCCAGCUUUAACAGCUACUAGUCAUGUGUCAUUUUUGUGUCACUUAUACUUCCAGCCAUUCCCCCACCAAUUUCAUUUUUUUUAGGCUUUUUGGAUAAAAUGUAUAUUCAUUGCAAGGUACAAUGUGAACUGUAAAUAGUAGAGAGAUGGGGUUUCACCAUGUUGGCCAGGCUGACCUUGAACUCCUCACCUCAGGUGAUCCAACCUCAGGUGAUCCAACCGCUUCAGCUUCCCAAAGUGCUGGGAUUACAGGCAUGAGCCAAUAUACUCGGCCUGAGAAUUCAUAUUUCUAACGAAGUACAAAUCCAUAGGUCACAUGACAACUGCAAUAUCUAUCUACAGUAGAUACAGUUUGAUGAAUAAAAUGAAAGGCAAUUGACCUAAGGUGAAAAAAAAAAAAACAAAAAACAAUCAAAGCAUGGGUAUUACGUGCUAUCUGUAGGAGCAUUUGGUUAAGAAUAACAAACAAACCAAUUUUAUCGUUUUAAUAACCGAAAUUGUCAAAAUUUCUAGUUUUUCUUUCAUAGAAAUGCUCUCUGCAAGAAAAAGAUUUCAUAUAGUGAGAGCAAAAAUGGCAACCAUUUGCAAGUAAAUGUCUUAGGAAAUUAAGUAGCAGAUACCAACCUCAUGACCUUCAGAUAGUUACCCCAAACUCAAUCAUUUACAUAGCAAGUUCAGAUAAUUUUCAUAGCUUCCUAUUAAAAUUAUAUUUGAAUGCUCUUACAAAUUGUGACUGUGUUCACAUAAAAUUCACUAACUAAUAUUUUGUAUAUGACAUAUGAUAAAUUCCACUUCAAGUCACCUUACAUUUAUUUAAUUUUAUUAGGCAGUGUCUGUCUACCUCCCAGUAAUACUUGGGGAUUCUCCCAUUUGCACAGACAUCAUAGCUGGGGAAACAGGGAUUCAAAAGAUCCAGGCUGUUCCCUACAUAUUUUUCCUCCUCAGACAUCAGUUCAUCAGUCAAUCAAGUCAGGUGAGAGUGGAGGCCAUGUAUUCCUUAUUCUUGGGCACUGUCCUCCAAGGAGGAAGAGGCCAGGAGGUCCUGUUAGAGGAUGCACUCUGAGAGGCCGGGCUCCCUAAGGUGUGAGGGUUCUAACCAGCAGGUGUAGACUUUUCAGGAGUGAGGAAUGAGGCAGGCAUUCCAAACCUGGAGCUUCAUCACCUUUUGUUUCAUCUCAAGACAAUUCUGAGGGGCUGUUUUGGAACGUGUCUGGAAGGUGAACAUUGAAGAAGAGUGGGCUUUGAUGUGACUCAGAUAAGAUCUUUCAUGGGGAGGCAGGAAUUUAAUGCCCAGAAUCUGGGCUGGUGUCUUUGAGGUCAGUGGGUUGCCUUUUUGUAUCCAAGUCCAUUGUUACUAGGUUGGAGGCUGGAGAUUCUAAAUGGCUUCCAGACCGCCUCUCUGAUUCUCUUUUGGAGAUGGGGUCUGAAAAAGACAAUGUCAGUAUUUUUGGGAAAUUCUGGAAAGUCUGUUUGGAAACCUGUCAAGACCUCUUGCCUAGUGCCUAAAUUCUCAAUGUGCAGCUCUAGCCAUGUAGAUUUUGGAGGUAAGAGCUGGGUUUGCAUUUAUAUCAGCAAAACCUAUGGCAGAGUGAAGAAGUAAUCAGGACAAAGUGCUUGGUCGCAGCCAGAGAACAUCUUAAAAGCAAACUUCUAGCCUGCUGACUCUUGGCAAUGAGUGUUGGGUCCUGGCCAAAGUGCCUUGAAUGCAGCAUGAAGCCAAUCCAUAAAUCCAACUUCUAAUGGAGAAAUGUUAAUAUUUUUUCAGUUUGAAUCAAUCAGGGUGAAAUUACCAUGCUAUUGGUUUGUUUACUUUUUAUUAUUUCAUAUAAAAUCUAAGACAAAAUACAUUAAACGCUUAUUGACAUAUGUAUUUAUUCUUCACCUGGCUCAUAACAUUUGCCUAAUUUUAAACUUUCUUCUAUUAUGUAGGUUUCAACUUAUUUUAUUGUAAGAUAUUUUUAAAUCUAAUACAGGCAUUGUCACCUUUACAUGUAAUUUCAUUUUAUUUCAUAUAUUUCCUAUUCGCUUUCUAUAUUUAAAUUAUGGACUGUUUCAUCAUAUAAAAAGCUUCAUUUCUGUUUUAAAAAUAAUUCUUUGGGUUUUUUUGGUCUUGUAAUUUCCAUAUUACAUAGUAAUGAGAUAAAUAUUAAUGUUUCCGGGUAUUUAAAUUUUAGAUAAUUACUCAUUGUAUCCAUGUGAAAUUUGUUUUUACUGCUGUGGGGUUGAGAACUGUUUUCUCUUCUGAUUGUCUUUACUGUGAUCUCCUCAGAACUCAUACCUCUCGUAGUUGGGGGAUUGCAGUUUAGAAUUCCAAUAAAUGGGGCAAAUUCAACAAUAACAUAAUGCAUAUGAGUUUGAAAGGAGGACAUGUCUUCAAAGCAUACACAAAUGGGCCUACAUAUGUACAACAAUAAUUUAUAAGUUACAGUUUGGAUGGAAAGUAAAAGUACGGAAAAUUUGUUAAAGUAAAUUAAAAUGGAGAUCAUGUCUCAAUAAUCUCUGAGCAGACAAAAUUAGUUAGGUCUCAUAAGUGAUCUCGACCUGCUUGAUUUGCAAAUAAAAGCAAAACUUAAAUUAUUUCUUGUAGCUGCAUAUUUAAAAAACAGAAAUGAAGCUCAACCAAUCAGGAGUAGCCAACAACCUUAUAUAAAUAGAAACUGUCCAACAAGGUAAACAGACAAACAGAAAACAAUAAAAAAAGUUGUGCUACCACCAAUUAAAUGAUUUAUUUGUUUCUACAUUUUUCCAAUAAAUACUUGCUUCUUACACAGUCAGUGAAGCACUAAAUAUCUUUUGGUCUGAUAUUUUAUAAUUUAUCAAUUGUCUUAAAUAACAUUUACA